CAUUCGGACUCGAAACGUUAACUGUGUUCCUCUCCGCAGAUGCUGCCAGACCUGCUGAGUUUUUCCAGUCGCUGCAGUGUCCAGUUGAUUAAUUUAUAACGUCUGGAGGUAGGACCAAUCCUGGAGGGUUGGCAACCCUACAACAUCCUUGGCACAAGACUUCUGAGGAAGCAGCUGGCAUGAUCUCGCUGGUGUUCACUAGCUGGGACAGAUGGAGGUCAUUCUCUGUCUGUGGGCAGCACCCUUGGGCCUCAAGCAUUUUGCAUGGUGGCGCAAGAAAAUAGAGUCACAAUCUGCUUCCCCCACCGCCCCCCCACAGAUUUUCCAUUUAGUUAAGGCGGUGAAUAUUUCGAUCAGUUCUUACUUACAUCCAUCAGUAGAGGAAGCCUCGUGACUCGCUGCAUCGGGAGGAUAAGGAAUGAAAUCAUGGGCAGGUUCCUGCACUCGGGAUGGGCUUCAAUCUUAGUCAGAAUUUCUUUGAAGUUUGGAUUUGUAUUUCUGGGGGAGGAAAAAAAAGAAAAGUUACAAUUGUGAAG